UAGCCUAGUGGUUAAGGCUAUGGAUCGCCAAUCCGGAGACGGCGGGUUCGAUUCCCGU
rfam:Aedes albopictus isolate Foshan contig109123, whole genome shotgun sequence.